rnacentral:rRNA from 1 species
UACGUAGGGUGCAAGCGUUGUCCGGAAUUAUUGGGCGUAAAGAGCUCGUAGGCGGUUUGUCGCGUCUGCUGUGAAAACUGGAGGCUCAACCUCCAGCCUGCAGUGGGUACGGGCAAACUAGAGUUCGGUAGGGGGAGACUGGAAUUCCUGGUGUAGCGGUGAAAUGCGCAGAUAUCAGGAGGAACACCGGGUGGCGAAGGCGGGUCUCUGGGGCCGAUACUGACGCUGAGGAGCGAAAGCGUGGGGAGCGAACAGG